ensembl:snoRNA Gm23769 predicted gene, 23769
CCUGCCCCUAGGGGCAUUUCAGGUGUGACUGCUGUGUCACAUGGGCAUCAGUAGGUGGCAGAGAGGACAGCGGCUAUGUCUAUGCUCUGACCUAUGAAUAUCUGAUUAGUAGGCUAGCAUU